CGGGCCCAUUGUCCGAUCUUUCCCCUUCUUCAGCCCGUCUAUCUUUCUUGUUUCCUGACGCGAUAGCUCUCUCAUCCCCUCUGUAAUCAGGCUUCCCCCAUCACCCCCCCACCACCACACACACUCUCCAAAUCCAGCCCUAGUGCAAGUUCCCAUCAGUAUCACCAUGGAUUCCUCUUCCUCUUCUGCCCUGAAGCGUGGAUGCGCCUCCCGUUGUCUGCAGAGAGUAGAAGAGCCAGUGUUCCGAUGCUUCUGUGGGGAGCCCGCCUUUUCGUUGACCUCAGGAACGCCCUGAAAUCCCGGUCGCAAGUUCUUCAUCUGCCACAAGGCAGGAAUCGGCCGGGGUUGUAAGCUCUGGAUUUGGGAGGAUGUGCUUAUGCGAUUUGUUGCUGAAAUGUUGGAGUACUGUUCAGCAUCCACUCAUGACUGUCCGCACGAGCAACUUUCCAUGGCACGUGAAGCGUUGGUCAUCAGUGAGCAGAAGCUUGAUAGGAUGCGCCAAGAAUAUGAUGAGAUGUAGGCCAAAAUGGUGCUGAAAGUCCAGGAUUUGGAAGUGAAGCUGCAUGAGGCAGACAGCACUGUGUAGUGUUUGCGUCAGGAUCAGGCAAGCUGGUUGAAGAGAAUGGCCGCCUUAGCUGUACUGUUUGUUUUUUUGUUUGGUGUGUGUUUAACUCUCCUAAUUGAUCUAAUUAGGAUUUGGUUAGGGCGUGAAGAUGGUUAGUUCUAGUUCUAUGGCUGUAUGCUAAUUCAUGGAGGUUAUUAGUUUAGUGUUGGUUAGCAUUAGGAGGAAGUAAUUCAGGUCUAAUAGUUGAACUUUAUGAUGACUUUUGUUGCCUCGUCAGAUUUAGUACCCUGUGGUUGAAUUGUCAUUUAUUUAGUAAGGCAGUCCGCUUUUUCAGUACAUGUUUGAUGUGAUUGUAUUGUUUGA